rnacentral:tRNA from 1 species
AGUUCUGUAUUCAAUAAUGAUUUUAAAUUGCAAAUUUAAAGGUGAAUAUUAAAAUUCCUGAACUU